rnacentral:rRNA from 1 species
UACGAAGGGGGCUAGCGUUGCUCGGAAUCACUGGGCGUAAAGCGCGCGUAGGCGGCUUUGCAAGUCGGGUGUGAAAUCCCCAGGCUUAACCUGGGAACUGCAUUCGAGACUGCAUUACUAGAGUAUGGGAGAGGGAAGUGGAAUUUCCGGUGUAGCGGUGAAAUGCGUAGAUAUCGGAGGAACAUCAGUGGCGAAAGCGACUUCCUGGACCAAUACUGACGCUCAUGUGCGAAAGCCGUGGGGAGCAAACAGG